rnacentral:tRNA from 2 species
UGCGUGAUAGAAUAAUGGGAAUUCACAGGAAUUUGGGCCCUGCCGAUCCCAGUUCGAAUCUGGGUCACGCAC